rnacentral:rRNA from 1 species
UACGUAGGGGGCAAGCGUUGUCCGGAAUCAUUGGGCGUAAAGAGCGCGUAGGCGGCCCUGUAAGUCCGCUGUGAAAGUCAAGGGCUCAACCCUUGGAUGCCGGUGGAUACUGCAGGGCUAGAGUUCGGAAGAGGCGAGUGGAAUUCCCGGUGUAGGCGGUGAAAUGCGCAGAUAUCGGGAAGGAACACCUAUGGCGAAGGCAG